rnacentral:misc_RNA from 1 species
GAUGAAGAACGCAGCGAAAUGCGAUACGUAAUGUGAAUUGCAAAUUCAGUGAAUCAUCGAGUCUUUGAACGCACAUUGCGCCCCCUGGUAUUCCGGGGGGCAUGCCUGUCCGAGCGUCAUUGCUGCACUCAAGCACGGCUUGUGUGUUGGGCCCCGUCCUCCGAUCCCGGGGGACGGGCCCGAAAGGCAGCGGCGGCACCGCGUCCGGUCCUCGAGCGUAUGGGGCUUUGUCACCCGCUCUGUAGGCCCGGCCGGCGCUUGCCGAUCAACCCAAAUUUUUAUCCAGGUUGACCUCGGAUCAGGUAGGGAUACCCGCUGAACUUAAGCAUAUCAAUAAGCGGAGGA